CUGAGAAGUACUGGAACCUAAGUAAAGGGAAUUGCCCUUGGCUGGCAGGAGCCUCCUCACCUGGCAGUAGUCCUAAAGGGGGAAUGGCAGACAUUGGUGCCCUCCUCAAGGACUUAAGGGAUGGAGAGACAGUCGUUCCCACGUAGCCCCACUUCAUUCAACAGCUUGACCUCUUCAAAAACCAAACGAAUUGUGGCACAAGACAGGGACUACCUGAAACUCAGUCAAAUAGUAGCCCCAACUAAAGAUGCUUGAUUGAAGGUGAGCUCUUUAUCAGAACAGAUUAACGUACUUUGAUCUGUGCUGUACAGCCAUAACCAGCAUAUUUA